CUAGCGACUUCAGAGUUUGAUCCUGGCUCAGGACGAACGCUGGCGGCGUGCCUAACACAUGCAAGUCGAGCGGGGACAUACAGUGAAGAGGAAGUUUUCGGAUGGAAUUGGAACGGUGUGUUCUAGCGGCGGACGGGUGAGUAACGCGUGAGCAACCUGUCCUUCACAGGGGGAUAACACAGCGAAAGUUGUACUAAUACCGCAUAAGACCACGGGGCCGCAUGGUUUUGGGGUCAAAGGAGCAAUCCGGUGAAGGGUGGGCUCGCGUCCGAUUAGAUAGUUGGUGAGGUAACGGCCCACCAAGUCGACGAUCGGUAGCCGACCUGAGAGGGUGAUCGGCCACAUUGGGACUGAGACACGGCCCAA
rnacentral:rRNA from 1 species